GUUGCCAGCAAGUAGCGUUGGGCACUCUAGCCAGACUGCCGGUGAUAAAUCGAGGAAAGGUGGGGGACGACGUCAAAUCAUCAUGCCCUUUAUGUCCUGGGCUACACACGUACUACAAUGGCCGUUACAACGGGAAGCGAAGGAGCAAUCCGGAGCAAAUCCCUUAAAGGCGGUCCCAGUUCAGAUUGUGGGCUGAAACUCGCCCACAUGAAGGCGGAAUUGCUAGUAAUUGCAGAUCAGCAUGCUGCAGUGAAUACGUUCCCGGGCCUU
rnacentral:rRNA from 1 species